rfam:Triticum aestivum genome assembly, contig: Triticum_aestivum_CS42_TGACv1_scaffold_407834_5BL
GUAGUAUUCCCUCCGUCCCAAAAUUGUUUCUUAUAUUUGUUUAGAUACGGAUGUAUCUAACACUAAAAUGUAACUAGAUACAUCCGUAUUUAGACAAAUUUAAGACAAGAAUUUUGGGACGGAAGGAGUACAAA